rnacentral:lncRNA from 1 species
CAGCAAUUUUCUCCAUCUUUCCAUCUCUCUCAGUAGCUCCUGGAACAGUGUCCUGCAAUAAUAGGGACUCAACAAAUAUUUGCAGGAUGUUGAAGAAAGAUACUGUGCCUUCUUGUGCCGUAAGCCCAAAGUGCUCUAGAGUUAACUUUUAAAGAGGACAUGGCAGCCACUCAAAAAAAAAGCGAAAGUAUGUGCUUAAAAAUUCUGGUUUGUGCUUUAAACUUUUGCAAAGGAGGCAGAAUUAAAGUGUUUCAGUCUCCUCCUGGACCUCUGACAGCAAAAUUAGCAUGAAGGAGAACAGUACAUAGCAGAAAGUGAAGGCACUCUCCUAGCGGCUGUGACUCAAGAAGCUCGAGGCUGCCCAACAUGCCAGGCCUGUGAAACCAUCUGAAAGAAGCAUAAGAUGUGCUUCCUGCCUUCAUGCAGCUUCAAACCUUAAUAAUCCACAGGGAGAGCUUUGAGACUUAUGGAAACCAUCAGACUGCUUUAUCUGACCAAACCUCAAAGGAGGUUGAACUGGGAAGAGAGAGUCUGUUGACUCCAAGGCCAUCCCCAGCCUCCCACACUCACUCCUGAUCCUUUGGGAAGACCUGUGCCUUCGCUCGUUCCUGUGGCAGCAGCAAUCCACCCCUUUCAGAAGCUGUACGUCUCUCUCCAGUUUGCGUGGAAUUCUUGGAUAGGACCCAAGUUCUACUGGGACUGGUACCUGAAGCAGAGAGAGGAUAGAGAGGAGAGGGAUGGACUCCUGCACCUGACCUCUUGGACUGGUUGGAAAAACUGAUUCAACAGGAAGUCAAGAGCUCCGACUCCAAAAGCUGACCUUUGGUGUGCGGAAUCCUGGCUCUGCUGCUCACUCCUUAGAUAAUCUCAGAGCCUGCCUGCUUUACACACCCUGUGAAACCACGUCCAACAUCUGCUAACCAUAACUAAGAAGACCCUGUAGCUAUGAAAGACCAGACUCUGCUGCUGUCCUUUGGAGCUCUCUGACCCAGAGGCGCCCCACCCUGCUGCUGAGCAACAUCACCCAGACACACAGCCACCUCUCUCAUACCCUCCUUUCCCCCAGGAGAUCCCCUGUCCUACUUCCUUUCUGGGGAUGGCUUUGUGCCACUGUCUCUGGAAAGUCCCUUGUUGGGAAGGACUUCCUUUCUCAUGAACCCUGUCUAAUAAAGCUUCUGGUGUGUUGCUGCCUCUUGUGGGCCUGUCUCUUCCUUCAU